AUACUUACCUGGACGGGGUCAAUGGGCGAUCCGUAAGGCUCAUGGCCUAGGUUGGUGGCUUCCAUUGCACUUAGGAAGGGUGCCAGCCUAAGGUCUCCUCAAGCAGGAGAGCCUACGUCAUAAUUUGUUGCCGAGGGGGCCUGCGUACGCGCGGCCCCUG